CCUACGGGUGGCAGCAGUGGGGAAUAUUGCGCAAUGGGCGAAAGCCUGACGCAGCGACGCCGCGUGAGGGAUGAAGGUCUUCGGAUCGUAAACCUCUGUUAGCAGGGAAGAACGGUCACUGUGCUAAUCAGCAGUGAAUUGACGGUACCUGCAAAGGAAGCAACGGCUAACUCCGUGCCAGCAGCCGCGGUAAUACGGAGGGUGCAAGCGUUAAUCGGAAUUACUGGGCGUAAAGCGCUCGUAGGCGGUAUGUCAUGUCAAGGGUGAAAUCCCCGCGCUCAACGUGGGAACUGCUUUUGAAACUGGCAAACUAGAGUGUGUGAGAGGAGAGUGGAAUUCCAGGUGUAGGAGUGAAAUGCGUAGAUAUAUGGAGGAACACCAGUGGCGAAGGCGACUAUCUGGCACAAAACUGACGCUGAGGAGCGAAAGCGUGGGUAGCAAACAGGAUUAGAUACCCCAGUAGUC
rnacentral:rRNA from 1 species